rnacentral:rRNA from 1 species
GAAUUCAACUCCUACGGGAGGCAGCAGUGGGGAAUAUUGGACAAUGGGCGGAAGCCUGAUCCAGCAAUUCCGCGUGGGUGAAGAAGGUCUUCGGAUUGUAAAGCCCUUUCGGCGGGGACGAUGAUGACGGUACCCGCAGAAGAAGCCCCGGCUAACUUCGUGCCAGCAGCCGCGGUAAUACGAAGGGGGCUAGCGUUGCUCGGAAUUACUGGGCGUAAAGGGCGCGUAGGCGGCGCUGUUAGUCAGGCGUGAAAUUCCUGGGCUCAACCUGGGGACUGCGCUUGAUACGGCAGCGCUUGAGGAUGGAAGAGGCUCGCGGAAUUCCCAGUGUAGAGGUGAAAUUCGUAGAUAUUGGGAAGAACACCGGUGGCGAAGGCGGCGAGCUGGUCCAUUACUGACGCUGAGGCGCGACAGCGUGGGGAGCAAACAGGAUUAGAAACCCCAGUAGUCCAGGCGUU